GACGAGGGGUCCAAGCGUUGUUCGGAAUCAUUGGGCGUAAAGCGGGUGUAGGCGGCUCUAUAAGUCAGGAGUGAAAUCCCCGAGCUUAACUUGGGAAGUGCAUUUGAUACUGCAGAGCUUGAAUGUGGGAGAGGUUAGUGGAAUUCCAAGUGUAGUGGUGAAAUACGUAGAUAUUUGGAGGAACACCGGUGGCGAAGGCGGCUAACUGGCCCAACAUUGACGCUGAGACCCGAAAGCAUGGGGAUCAAACAGG
rnacentral:rRNA from 1 species